rnacentral:rRNA from 1 species
AAUGAACGCUGGCGGCGUGCCUAACACAUGCAAGUUGAGCGGUAAGGCCCCUUCGGGGGUACACGAGCAGCGAACGGGUGAGUAUCGCGUGGGUAAUCUACCUUGAGGUGGGGGAUAGCCUCGGGAAACUGAGGGUAAUACCGCAUGAGUCCUCGACGGCACAAGUCGACGAGGGGAAAGGCGGGGCUCCUUCGGGACCUGUCGCCUCUGGAUGAGCCCGCGUCCGAUUAGCUAGUUGGUGGGGUAAUGGCCCACCAAGGCAACGAUCGGUAGCCGGCCUGAGAGGGUGAACGGCCACAUUGGGACUGAGACACGGCCCAGACUCCUACGGGAGGCAGCAGUGGGGAAUUUUGGGCAAUGGGGGAAACCCUGACCCAGCGACGCCGCGUGGAGGAUGACGGCCCUCGGGUUGUAAACUCCUGUCAGGUGGGAAGAAAAGCCAGUCGGAUAAUACCCGACAGGAAUUGACGGUACCGCCAAAGGAAGCCCCGGCUAACUCCGUGCCAGCAGCCGCGGUAAUACGGAGGGGGCAAGCGUUAUUCGGAUUUACUGGGCGUAAAGCGCACGUAGGUGGCAUGGUAAGUCAAAGGUGAAAGCCCUCGGCUCAACCGAGGAACUGCCUUUGAAACUGCUUUGCUUGAGUCCGGGAGGGGGGGAGCGGAAUUCCCAGUGUAGCGGUGAAAUGCGUAGAUACUGGG